UACGUAGGGUGCAAGCGUUGUCCGGAAUUAUUGGGCGUAAAGAGCUCGUAGGCGGCUUGUCGCGUCGUCCGUGAAAACUUGGGGCUCAACCCCAAGCUUGCGGUCGAUACGGGCAGGCUGGAGUUCGGUAGGGGAGACUGGAAUUCCUGGUGUAGCGGUGGAAAUGACGCAGAUAUCAGGAGGAACACCGGUGGCGAAGGCGGGUCUCUGGGCCGAUACUGACGCUGAGAAGCGAAAGCAUGGGGAGCGAACAGG
rnacentral:rRNA from 1 species